UACGUAGGGGGCAAGCGUUAUCCGGAUUUACUGGGUGUAAAGGGAGCGCAGACGGCAGUGCAAGUCUGGAGUGAAAGCCCGGGGCCCAACCCCGGGACUGCUCUGGAAACUGUACGGCUAGAGUACGGGAGGGGCAGGCGGAAUUCCUAGUGUAGCGGUGAAAUGCGUAGAUACUAGGAGGAACACCGGCGGCGAAGGCGGCCUGCUGGACCGAAACUGACGUUGAGGCUCGAAAGCGUGGGGAGCAAACAGG
rnacentral:rRNA from 1 species